GACGAACGCUGGCGGCGUGCUUAACACAUGCAAGUCGAACGCUGAAGCCCUUUCGGGGGUGGAUGAGUGGCGAACGGGUGAGUAACACGUGGGUAAUCUGCCCUGUACUUCGGGAUAAGCCUUGGAAACGGGGUCUAAUACCGGAUAGGACCUGUCCUCGCAUGGGGGUGGGUGGAAAGUUCCGGCGGUAUGGGAUGAGCCCGCGGCCUACCAGCUUGUUGGUGGGUUAGUGGCCUACCAAGGCGACGACGGGUAGCCGGCCUGAGAGGGUGACCGGUCACACUGGGACUGAGACACGGCCCAGACUCCUACGGGAGGCAGCAGUGGGGAAUCUUGCGCAAUGGGCGAAAGCCUGACGCAGCAACGCCGCGUGGGGGAUGACGGCCUUCGGGUUGUAAACCUCUUUCGACAUCGACGAAGGGGCCCUGUUGUGGGGUUUUGACGGUAGGUGUAGAAGAAGCACCGGCUAACUACGUGCCAGCCGCCGCCGUAA
rnacentral:rRNA from 1 species